GUAGGUGAACCUGCGGAAGGAUCAUUGUCGAAACCUUAUGGUUACUUUGAUCUUGAGAACCAACAUGCUACUCUUUAUGACUUUGUCAUAAAGGUUGGGAGUAUCACACCUUUUUAAUCCGUUUUGAGGUGUCUAUGUGCAACAUGAGCCGUUUUGGAUGGCGUCUGUGAUUGUUGUACGAAGUUCGCGUUUACGCUGAGCUCUAGACUUAAUGAGCAUUGCAUGAAUGCCACCUCUGUGUUUAUGCUGUUUUUGGUGGUUACGCAUUAGGCUUCCAGCCUUCUGCAACACCUGCUUGUCAGGAAAUCUUAAUGAUCUGCUUUUAAAUAGCGGACGCCAAUACAGACUAACGUUUUGCAUUUGAUGUUUGCAGAACCGUGACUUAUUGGUCACAAAAUAGACUAGCUUCAGCGAUGGAUCGGUCGAUUCGCGUAUCGAUGAAAAACGCAGCUAGCUGCGUUAUUUACCACGAAUUGCAGACGCUUAGAGUGGUGAAAUUUUGAACGCAUAGCGCCGUUGGGUUUUCCCUUCGGCACGUCUGGUUCAGGGUUGUUUAUAUAAUUACUACAGUGUGGCUUGUAACACUGUUUGUCGAACGACGCUUGCACAUGUGCGUGUAUGUGUGUGAUCCUCGUUCUAGAUGAGAAAUAUAUUGCAACAGGUAUUUUGGAGCAAUCCAAGGUACACGGAUGUCGUGUGACGUAUGCACGCAUGUAUAUGCGUGUAGGUUGUCACUGUCAAAGUGUUCAGCGAAUAAGAAUACUUGACGGGGCUUGUUAUAUUGACAACCGUAGUCGCAUGUCAUUUGCAAUGCAACCUGAGCUCAGUCGUGAUUACCCGCUGAACUUAAGCAUAUCACUUAGCGGAGGAAAAGAAACUAA
rnacentral:rRNA from 1 species